GACGGGUGAGUAACGCGUGAGAAUCUGCCUUGGGGUCGGGGACAACCACUGGAAACGGUGGCUAAUACCGGAUACGCCUUCGGGUAAAAGAUUUAUUGCCCUAAGAGGAGCUCGCGUCUGAUUAGCUAGUUGGUGAGGUAAGAGCUCACCAAGGCAGCGAUCAGUAGCUGGUCUGAGAGGACGAUCAGCCACACUGGGACUGAGACACGGCCCAGACUCCUACGGGAGGCAGCAGUGGGGAAUUUUCCGCAAUGGGCGAAAGCCUGACGGAGCAAGACCGCGUGAGGGAGGAAGGCUCUUGGGUUGUAAACCUCUUUUCUCAGGGAAGAAAUCUGACGGUACCUGAGGAAUAAGCCUCGGCUAACUCCGUGCCAGCAGCCGCGGUAAUACGGAGGAGGCAAGCGUUAUCCGGAAUUAUUGGGCGUAAAGCGUCCGCAGGUGGCUUUUCAAGUCUGCUGUCAAAGACCGGGGCUCAACCCCGGAAAGGCAGUGGAAACUGUGAGGCUAGAGUGCGGUAGGGGUAGAGGGAAUUCCCGGUGUAGCGGUG
rnacentral:rRNA from 1 species